ACGGAGGGGGCUAGCGUUGUUCGGAAUUACUGGGCGUAAAGCGCACGUAGGCGGCUUUGUAAGUUAGAGGUGAAAGCCCGGGGCUCAACUCCGGAAUUGCCUUUAAGACUGCAUCGCUAGAAUUGUGGAGAGGUAAGUGGAAUUCCGAGUGUAGAGGUGAAAUUCGUAGAUAUUGGGAAGAACACCGGUGGCGAAGGCGGCUCACUGGCUCAUAUCUGACGCUCAGGCGCGACAGCGUGGGGAUCAAACAGGA
rnacentral:rRNA from 1 species